rnacentral:rRNA from 1 species
UACAGAGGUCCCAAGCGUUGUUCGGAUUCACUGGGCGUAAAGGGUGCGUAGGCGGUCGGGUAAGUUUGAUGUGAAAUCUCUGGGCUUAACCCAGAAAUGGCAUUGAAUACUAUUCGGCUAGAGAGUCGGAGGGGGGACUGGAAUACUUGGUGUAGCAGUGAAAUGCGUAGAUAUCAAGUGGAACACCAGUGGCGAAGGCGAGUCUCUGGACAUUUCCUGACGCUGAGGCACGAAAGCCAGGGGAGCAAACGGG